CUCUUUGGUGCAUCCAGGGGUCUCAUCUGCAGGGUAGAAGUAGACCACAACCGGCUUGCCUUUGUACUUGGAAAGGGCCACAUUUUUCCCAUCCUGGUCUUUCAAAGUAAAAGAUGGUGGCACAUCACCUUUUGACACCUACAAACAUUCACAAAAUCCCUGUUUUUAGCUAUUAGGUAUUGCUGUCAAAUAUCUAACCAUGAACUUUCAGUUGUAAAAAACAAAGUAUGUGCUGUGUGUUGAGAGAGGACAUCUUUAGGCAAAGUGUCAUUGAUUGGCUUGAAACAUCAGAUUGUAUUUGUUCUUUAGCACAAAGAAACAAGAAGAAGACCUGAAACAAACACUCUUAAGAAUAAUGCUUGCGUUAAUAAAGGAAUAAAUGGUUGUCAGAGGUGCAAAAGCUUGCUCUGUCUGACAUGGGGAGAGAGAGAGAGAGAGAGAGAGAGAGAGAGAGAGAGAGAGAUAUGUACCUUGGCACAAAUGAGCAUCCUCUGAGGGAAGGAAGGUGGUGGGAGUGAUGAGGUGGUGUUGGUAGAGAGUCUGAGGCCAUAUACUUGGGAAUGUGAUGCCCUGGGGAGAGAUGGAGUAGCUGAGGAGGGUGGAAUCCUGGGGUUUGGAGCUCUGAAGAAUGUGAGAGGGUGUUUAGGGAGAGAGGUGCAAGCCAUGGGAGAGGGAUCUCUCUCUCUC
rnacentral:lncRNA from 1 species